GUAGGUGGCAAGCGUUGUCCGGAAUUAUUGGGCGUAAAGCGCGCGCAGGCGGUUCUUUAAGUCUGAUGUGAAAGCCCACGGCUCAACCGUGGAGGGUCAUUGGAAACUGGAGAACUUGAGUACAGAAGAGGAAAGCGGAAUUCCACGUGUAGCGGUGAAAUGCGUAGAGAUGUGGAGGAACACCAGUGGCGAAGGCGGCUUUCUGGUCUGUAACUGACGCUGAGGCGCGAAAGCGUGGGGAGCAAACAGGGAUUAGAUACCCUGGUAGUCCACGCCGUAAACGAUGAGUGCUAAGUGUUAGGGGGUUUCCGCCCCCUUAGUGCUGCAGCUAACGCAUUAAGCACUCCGCCUGGGGAGUACGGCCGGAAGGCUG
rnacentral:rRNA from 1 species